rnacentral:lncRNA from 1 species
AUGAAAAGGGAAGGGAAGGGAAGGGAAGGGAAGGGAAGGGAAGGGAAGGGAAGGGAAGGGAAGGCUUUACUUGGCUUGUCUCAGCUCUGUGAUCCUCAUAUUGGAGGAUGUUGUUGACCCAUGUUCCUGGAGUGCGCAGAAUAUCCUUGCUGCCCAGAGACCACGAGCAUGCCAGAGCCACGCACUUCUUGGAGCUCAUUGCAGAGGUGCUGGCAGUCCUGCUGCCUCCGUGUGGGAAGCUGCAUAGCUGCUACAGCACAAUCCUGUUGGUUUUACUGGUUACCUCUUCUGAACCUUUCCUGGUGGGCUUACAGCUCAUUGCUGUCUCAGAGGAACAGGAGAGCAGAGUCUGGCUCUACAGCACAAGAAUCGGAGCCUUCUGCAUUAACCAAGGCAACAAGUGCAGUUGUGGACCUCUCCUUCACACCACUGCUUAAAACACACACAAUUGUGGUGCAUAUGAACUUUGUUUAUAAUCUCCUCACUGUGUAUAUGCAUUCCAUUGCAAGCUGUGCAAUAUAUCAUUACAUCUCUUACAGUGUAGAAAUACUGUAUAAAAAUGAGAUUGAGUCCUUUAUUUAUAGUCAUCUACAGCCAGAUGAUGGAAAACAUUUUCUGCUUAAAGAAUGA